rnacentral:rRNA from 1 species
UACGAGGGGGGCAAGCGUUGUUCGGAAUCAUUGGGCGUAAAGAGCGUGUAGGCGGCUCGAUAAGUCUGCUGUGAAAGUCCAGGGCUCAACCCUGGAAGGCCGGUGGAAACUGUCGGGCUAGAGUCCGGAAGAGGCGAGUGGAAUUCCCGGUGUAGCGGUGAAAUGCGUAGAGAUCGGGAGGAACACCAGUGGCGAAGGCGGCACCCUGGACCAGCACUGACACUGAGGCACGAAAGCGUGGGGAGCAAACAGG